AUAAGUUCUACGGGGUAGCAGAAAUAAAGCGCGGGGUGAGCGUCGCCGGCACGUGAAACGCGUGCCGGCCGCGGAGAGUCUGCAUGCACGGCGGGGCCAAUCGUCGUCGAACAACACAUGCAUGCAGGCCGACUUGCACAUAAGCGACGUUCCGUCGUCUGACCGGGGAAGGCAGUGAUCGGGCGGCGGCGGACGUUUUUUAAUC
rnacentral:ncRNA from 2 species